rnacentral:ncRNA from 1 species
UUUAAAGCAUUGAUUAGAAGUAGUAAUAUUUUAUUUCAUUUAUUUAGAGAGCUGCUGUUUGGUGAAAAGUAGUAAUGAAGAAAUAUGAACUUGUCUAGGAGUUUCUUUGUUAAAAGCAAAGACGUUAACUGCGUUAAAGUUUCAAGUGGAAAUAAUUAAUUUUAUUUCAACAAGAGUGGUACCGCGGAAUUUAACCUUUCGUCUCUUAA